rnacentral:rRNA from 13 species
UUCCUUGUCGGGUAAGUUCCGACCCGCACGAAAGGCGUAAUGAUUUGGAUACUGUCUCGGAGAGGGGCUCGGUGAAAUAGACUUGUCUGUGAAGAUGCGGACUACCUGCACCAGGACAGAAAGACCCUAUGAAGCUUUACUGUAACUUGAAAUUGAAAUUGGACUUUAUUCGCGCAGUAUAGGUGGGAGGCGUUGAUUGUAAUCUUGCGGGAUUAUUGGAGCCAUCAGUGAGAUACCACCCUUGUAAUGUUAGAUUUCUAACUUUGAAUCAUUAUCUGGUCAAAGAACAGUUUCAGGCGGGCAGUUUGACUGGGGCGGUCGCCUCCUAAACGGGAACGGAGGCGUACAAAGGU